UGCAUCUGUUUUGGCAUUCGUGCGAUUGUGUUUGUCUCCAUACGUAAUUCUCUUUGUAUGCUUCUGUGUAUCACACCCUACUUACGCAGCCUGACCCACAGAGGUAUGGGCUGAACCAAGAAGAGGGGUGAGGUGGGAGGGGGGGUGGGGGGGUGUGAGGAGGCCACAAACUCCUAUAAGACUCUCAGCCUGCCACACACCUUCACACACUGAACCUUAUCACAGGAGACGUACACAGGCAAAGAGCACCACAGCAGAGCACCACAGCAGACAUGGACCUCAUUGGAAAUCUCACCGGCAGCAAGGGCAAGGGCAGUGGCAACAUGGUCGAUAAAGUGAUCGACACUGCAGCUGUCAAAGCCAAAGAACAAAUUGGAUCUAUGAUGGGAGGAAAAAAGCAGGCAGGAGAGCCGGCAGCAAAAGGAGGUAAUCUCAACCAUUCCAAUCAGCGUCUUUCUUUGUCCACCGGAAACUCCCAUAGUUAAGACUAAUUGCACAGUUAAGACUAAUUACACACCAGCACCACAGUUCCCACACAUCAGUUUUAUGCAUUUUAAUUUACUGUUCAUUUACUGCUAAUGAAUGACAAAUAGUUGCAAAACCAGGGCUGGAAAGCGUGCGUUCCUCUGACUGACCCGUGGUGCACCCUCAGGCAUCGGUGACAUGGUGAGCGGAGCGGUGGGGAACAUCGCCGCCGACGCCGCCAAAGACUCCGUCAUGGACGAAGUCACCAAAUUUGGAGGGGAUCUGUUCAAGUGACCACUCCCUCCCUCCCUCCCUCCCUGAUAAAGACUCAUGACAACAUGUCCGGACCACCACCACCACCACCACGUCCCCUCACCCAUGUUUGGAGUCUCAAGGAGCUGCAUGCCAGGAAUGAAUGUUACGCAGUAUGAUCUGCAAUGUGCAUAAUUAACAUAAAUUGAAAAAUAAAACUCUUUUAAUAUU